rnacentral:rRNA from 1 species
UACGGAGGGUGCAAGCGUUAUCCGGAUUUACUGGGUUUAAAGGGUGCGUAGGCGGGCUGAUAAGUCAGUGGUGAAAGCCCCAAGCUUAACUUGGGAAUUGCCAUUGAUACUGCCAGUCUUGAAUGCGGUUGAGGUAGGCGGAAUAUAGGCAUGUAGCGGUGAAAUGCUUAGAUAUGCUAUAGAACACCGAUUGCGAAAGCAGCCUUACUAAGCCGUUAUUGACGCUGAGGCACGAAAGCGUGGGGAGCAA